UAGGGAAUAUUCCACAAUGAGCGAAAGCUUGAUGGAGCGACACAGCGUGCACGAUGAAGGUUUUCGGAUUGUAAAGUGCUGUUAUAAGGGAAGAACAUUUGCAAUAGGAAAUGAUUGCAGACUGACGGUACCUUGUCAGAAAGCGAUGGCUAACUAUGUGCCAGCAGCCGCGGUAAUACAUAGGUCGCAAGCGUUAUCCGGAAUUAUUGGGCGUAAAGCGUUCGUAGGCUGUUUGUUAAGUCUGGAGUUAAAUCCCGGGGCUCAACCCCGGCUCGCUUUGGAUACUAGCAAACUAGAGUUAGAUAAAGGUAAGCGGAAUUCCAUGUGAAGCGGUGAAAUGCGUAGAUAUAUGGAAGAACACCAAAGGCGAAGGCAGCUUACUGGGUCUAUACUGACGCUGAGGGACGAAAGCGUGGGGAGCAAACAGG
rnacentral:rRNA from 1 species